rnacentral:snoRNA from 1 species
GGCCUCCUGGUGCUUACCACAGGUUGUGUUUUUGCAUUGACUGUAUAGAAAGAGGAGGCAAAGUAAACCUACCCCAUAUACACCUCAGCCCUGUGUCUGGUCUGUAUUCUGAAUGCGGAGACAUGG